UUCUGACGCAGGCGCAGGGAGGUGGGCUCCGCGCGGCCCCGCGGGCUCGCGACCCGCCCAGAGAACGGGCGUCCGUGCUGGACGCGCGGCAGCUUUGUGAUGGUGGUGAUGAUGCUCUACGCACCCUGGGGAUAAAGAGCCCGCCUCGCCCUGCCAUUGCCUGGCUGGAGGGAAUUGCGAUGAUGAGCCUUUAGCUCAGAAGUGACGGGGUGUCCCAGGGGAUCGCCGGCUUUGGCGGGAAGAGACUCAGAGUGGGCGUGCCUAGUUGUCGGUGACUGACCUGGAGAAAGAACCUUCGGCCCCUCCCAGCUUCGUUUUUCCCACUUGAAACACAGGAGGACCCAGUGUGGACCAGCCUCCUGGAGGGGUGAGGAGUCUAUAUAUUAAUACAAACAUCGCCCCAGCGCUUUUUCUGGGACCUGCGAGGGCGGCUCACUUGUAGCACAUUCGCUGCCGUCUGUCUUGGCAACUUGGAGCCUCCUGGUUUGGAGGGUUUUUAUCCCAGGAGGGCUGACCUUCCACGAGGGGUGGGGCAGAGGUUCCGCUGUGUUCGACAAUGAGACCAUCAGCUGGAUGGUUGGGCCUCCCGAAGCCACCAAACCGUCAGGAAACCCAAGGGGACCUUCUCCCGGCUGAAGUGAUGGAGCCGGAGUACCGAGGGCAGGUUGGGUGAUCGUUUCCAGUGGAGUGAGGAAGGACUCUGCGUGGAACGUUCCAAAAACAAGGAAACAAAAGAAUGUAGAACUGUGGAAGAAUCAAUUCCUGGACUCCUGAAGAAAGACGUUCAUCCUUGCGUGAGGCGUCUCAUGUCUUCUGCUGGCAUCUGUGAAACUGUAGUAAGCUAACUUAAUUUUUAAAUGGGACAAGAUUAAAUUAAAGACUUAACAAAAACCUGUACACUGAAACUACAAAACGUUGCUGAGAGGUAUGAAAAAGUGUAUAACUAAAUGGAGAGAUGUAUACCAUGAUCAUGAACUGGAAGACUGAAUAUUAUUAAGGUCGUAAGUCCAUGGAGGUUAGUGGAUCAAUAAGCCCCAGGCUCCUAGAACAAUGCCCAGGACAAAGGGAUCUUCCUGACCCAAGGAUCGAACCCCUGUCUUCUGCACUGACAGACAGAUAGAUACUUUUACCACUGGGCCGCAUGGGAAGCCAGCUGUAUCCCUUAGCACAUGUAUGGUCAAAUUAAACAGGACUUAAACAGGGACUUGACUGAGCAGAACAUGAAGAGAAGGCUGAAGUACCUGUGGCAGUUCUGACUGUGUUCACAUCAAUGCAACACCAGCUGUUUCUCCAACAGAGGCCUGGGGACACAAAGAGGUAACAGGAAUGUGUCUCCCCGCCGUCCCACUCACUCCUGAAUUGGAUUGUCGUUCCUCUGUGAGUCGACUUGAAGUGGCUCACAGACCCUGGAGUCAUCUGAGCCUUCUAUAAGUCUCUUCUUGGAAAAGUCUUUGGAAUGGAAAUUUUAAAAGUCCAUCUUCAUCUUGAUAGGUAAAGAAUGACCCAGUGACAAAGGUUUUUAAGGGGAAGGCAACAUACCCCAGAGGCAAGGAUAAAUAAAAAUGUCUUUCUCUAAGUUAAGACUCAAAUAAUGUAUGCAAGAUUCACUCAAAGCGCUUUCAUAGCCUAGGGACCAGAGAGGGGAAUCUUCUCAUUCGCAAGACUUCUGGUAUAGGGAGUAUAAUGUAUUCCUUCAGAAAAAAAUACAAGGAAACAAAGGGAUGAGUAAGUUAAAAUCAAAAUUGCCAUCAUUAAAUUUAUAUUUG